rnacentral:tRNA from 1 species
GCUCCCUUCAUCUAGCGGUCAGGAUCCCGCCCUUUCACGGCGGAAACAGGGGUUCGAAUCCCCUAGGGAGUACCA